UUCAGUGUUUUCUGUGUUUGUGUGUGAUAAAAGUAGUUUCCAUCUGUGUGAUAUACUUGCUCAUUUUCGUUAACACUUUUCUUGUACAAGUUCGUUGCUAGUGAAUGCUUUCUACAGGAGUUUGGCAAGAAACACUAAGACAAAGAAGGUUUACAGAAUAAAACGUACGCCAUUUGUGAAAAUAAACCUUGCUUGAACAUGGCAUGUUAAUGAUAGAUGAGAUGCACGUUUUUGUUUUAAUCACUUUUAUAAAACAAACAUUGCUUUACGGACUUUACAUGUUUCCAGUAAUAACCAAGGUCGUGUGAUCUGUUGUGGGC